ACUCCUACGGGAGGCAGCAGUGGGGAAUAUUGGACAAUGGGCGCAAGCCUGAUCCAGCCAUGCCGCGUGAGUGAUGAAGGCCCUAGGGUUGUAAAGCUCUUUCACCGGUGAAGAUAAUGACGGUAACCGGAGAAGAAGCCCCGGCUAACUUCGUGCCAGCAGCCGCGGUAAUACGAAGGGGGCUAGCGUUGUUCGGAUUUACUGGGCGUAAAGCGCACGUAGGCGGACUAUUAAGUCAGGGGUGAAAUCCCGGGGCUCAACCCCGGAACUGCCUUGGAUACUGGGAGUCUUGAGUUCGAGAGAGGUUAGUGGAAUUCCGAGUGUAGAGGUGAAAUUCGUAGAUAUUCGGAGGAACACCAGUGGCGAAGGCGGCUCACUGGCUCGAUACUGACGCUGAGGUGCGAAAGCGUGGGGAGCAAACAGGAUUAGAUACCCGUGUAGUCCCAUGAU
rnacentral:rRNA from 1 species